rnacentral:tRNA from 1 species
GCUCAACUUAGCUCAACUGGUUAGAGCAAGGGACUGAAAAUCCUUGUGUCAGUGGUUUGAAUCCACUUCUAAGCG